UCAUUCGUUUCCAGCCCCUCGUCUUCCUCCCUCUCGUCGUGCUCCUCAGCCGAGGUUGCGAGGACUCUCCCUGUAAUCGUCUCCUCCAUGUCGGCAUCUUCCCCCAUCUCUCCAACGCCGUCCAGCCACUAAGCAGCUCACCGGAGCAGCAACGCUCAACACCGGCUCCUAGCAUCUGUGCUUCGCCCCACCGUGGAGUCACCUCGUCGGCGUCCCCUCACUCCUCGUCCAUUCGUCGAGCUCACCGAGCCCCUUCUCAGCCGUGCCGAGUCUCCAAGCCGGCUAUCGACGCUCGCCUUUGUUUUCGUGUUGCCGGCACCCAGUCCUUUUCUCCACGUCAGAGUCCUUGCCUCACCGUGACUGGCACUCCCUGAGAUCCUUGGGAACAUCAUGUCGCCGUCAGUGAACGCCGCUUCGAACCCAUCGCCUUGUGGACCGGCCAAUCCGAGUGUUCUUUGAUUGAGUUUGCGCGAGCACCGUAACGGUGGUGAUGAGGAGUACUCUAGGUGUUCCUGAGGCUGGAGGGCAUUUCCAGUUCUGGAGGAGGAUUAGUUAGGCUUGUGUAUAAGCUUUGGAGGGUUCCUACCUUCCUGCUAUUGUAAUAAGUUAAGCACUUUGAGUAUAUCAGGACUUGUAAUAAAUGUAACUCUUCCUAUGUAAUAACCUUCAGUUUUAGAAAUGAAAAGAAUAUUUUGUAAAGUCUUCCGCUCUUAUCUCCGAAGUGUGUGUAUCGAAUGUGAUUACUGUAAUAUGCAUGUAUGGUGGGAGA